UCCCGGUUACCCGGGCAGUUCCCGAAGAGUGCCCGACUUGACGCUGGCAACAUCGGAUGAGGGUUGCGCUCGUUGCGGGACUUAACCCAACAUCUCACGACAUGAGCUGACGACAGCCAUGCAACACCUGUCUUGGGGUUCCCCUUGCGGGGCACAGGGAGCUUUCACCCCCCUUCCCCAGAUGUCAAGCCUGGGUAAGGUUCUACGGUUAGUGACGUAUUAAUCCACAUGCUCCGCCGCUUGUGCGGGCCCCCGUCAAUUCCUUUGAGUUUUAGCCUUGCGGCCGUACUCCCCAGGCGGGGCACUUAAUGCGUUAGCUGCGGCACAGAGACCGUGGAAUGGCCCCCACACCUAGUGCCCACCGUUUACGGCUGGGACUAC
rnacentral:misc_RNA from 1 species